GACGAACGCUGGCGGCGUGCCUAAUACAUGCAAGUCGAGCGGAUUUUCUGGAGCUUGCUCCAGAAAAUUAGCGGCGGACGGGUGAGUAACACGUGGGCAAUCUGCCCGUAAGACUGGGAUAACUCCGGGAAACCGGGGCUAAUACCGGAUAACCCUGACUCUCUCCUGAGAGUCAGUUGAAAGAUGGUUUCGGCUAUCACUUACGGAUGAGCCCGCGGCGCAUUAGCUAGUUGGUGAGGUAACGGCUCACCAAGGCGACGAUGCGUAGCCGACCUGAGAGGGUGAUCGGCCACACUGGGACUGAGACACGGCCCAGACUCCUACGGGAGGCAGCAGUAGGGAAUCUUCCGCAAUGGACGAAAGUCUGACGGAGCAACGCCGCGUGAGUGAAGAAGGUUUUCGGAUCGUAAAACUCUGUUGUCAGGGAAGAACACGUACGAGAGUAACUGCUCGUACCUUGACGGUACCUGACCAGAAAGCCACGGCUAACUACGUGCCAGCCGCCGCCGUAAUAC
rnacentral:rRNA from 1 species